rnacentral:SRP_RNA from 11 species
GACAGGGCGACGGGAACCUGUAGGGCUUAGUACCGGGGUGUAGGGUUUAGGGUGUUGGGUAGGGGGCGGGCGAGCCCCACAUAUAAAAGCCCUAUGCAGAGCAGGUGGUCUAGCUGUGAC